rnacentral:lncRNA from 10 species
GCUGGGAGGACUUGCUCAGAGCCACUCAGCCAGUAGGAGUGGAACUGGGAUUUCAGCCCAUGGCUGUCUGACUCUGGGUGUCUGUACUGGGACCACCUGCCAUGAACUCCAGGGACCUCUCAGCAGAUGUUGAGGGAGCCUGCCGCCUUCUCUCCUGUAUUUGGCCAGGCUGUCCAGGGAGAGGGCUCUACCAAGAUGUCCAGGAUGGAUGCCGCGCUGGCUUUUCUCACUGUCACUCCAUUCCCUGAAGGGGACUGGAGGUCCUGGACCAGCCUUGCCUCUCCUCAGCUACGCAUGUCAACCUUAAAACACCCCACAGGGCCAGGCAUGGUGUUUCAUGCCAGCAAUCCUAGCUCUUUGGGAGACCAAAGCAGGCAGAUCAUUUGAGGCCAGGAGUUCAAGACCAGCUUGGGCAAGAUGGUGAAACCCCAUCUCUACUAAAAACAAAACAACAACGACAACAAACCUCACAAACAUCUGUUCAGCAAAAAAAAAGAAAGAAAGAAAGAAAACAAUCAAGGCAGGCAAAAAAGAACCCUCUAUUUAUUUGGAUAAGAAAAGCAAGCAAAACCCCCAAAUCUCCAGAGUGGUCAACUCUCAGGAGAGGAAGGGAGGGACUAGAAAAGGCAGGACCCUUGGGGUUUUGAGGAGCCACAUUCCAGCUCUAAGCUGGGCAGGGGCCCCAGGUAUCUGUUGAAUUGUUCUUAAAGAAUCGGCCCCGCCUGUCUGGCCCCUGCCUGCCUGUCCUUACUCUUCCUGGCUUCCUUGCCCUGCCCCAUUUCUUAUACCCUACCUGCAGUCCUACCCCAAGUCUGGAACAGUUUAGUGGGGAGCCAGCAUUUCCUGACCGGUGCCCCAAGAAGCAGAGAAUGUUGUUUUGUGGCAAGAGAGGAAGUAGGAGAGGGAGUUGGAGAGCCUAAUUGCCCUGGUUUCUUCGAGGUUCCAGCUCCCAGCUCCAAUACCUGAGCUGCUCCUCCUGCCCUCUAGGUUUUUUUUUUUUCUAAGAUGGAGUCUCUGUCUCCCGGGCUGGCUGGAGUGCAGUGGCGCGAUCUGGGCUCACUGCAACCUCUGCUUCCUGGGUUUAGG